GAGCGAGUGAAAUGGUUGCAAAGUGUGCCACCCCAGUGAUUGUCAGUCUCAAUUCAGUUGAAACUGAUCUGGCUGGCUUGUCAGGUGUCAUUUCAUCCCUAGGAGCCCCAUUUGCAUCCCUUUGGUCCUUCCUGAAGCUGCUUGGUGGAAGAGGAUGACUUUCCCUGAAUAGAGAAAGACCAGUCUUUGGUCAAGAGUAUACAAGUAGUUGGCUCCCUGGUUAGAGUCUCAAGAAAUCAAAAUCUGUAACAAGUAUUUGCCUAAUAAAGUUUUAAAAAAAAUCACAAACCCAAGAGACAU
rnacentral:snRNA from 1 species